rnacentral:rRNA from 1 species
UACAGAGGUCUCAAGCGUUGUUCGGAUUCAUUGGGCGUAAAGGGUGCGUAGGCGGCGCGGUAAGUCGGGUGUGAAAUCUUGGAGCUUAACUCCGAAACUGCAUUCGAUACUGCCGUGCUUGAGGACUGGAGAGGAGACUGGAAUUUACGGUGUAGCGGUGAAAUGCGUAGAUAUUGUAAGGAAGACCAGUGGCGAAGGCGGGUCUCUGGGCCGAUACUGACGCUGAGGAGCGAAAGCGUGGGGAGCGAACAGG